CCUACGGGAGGCAGCAGUGAGGAAUCUUGGUCAAUGGGCGCGAGCCUGAACCAGCCAAGUCGCGUGAGGGAAGACGGUCCUAUGGAUUGUAAACCUCUUUUGUCGGGGAGCAAAAGACGCCACGCGUGGCGUUCCGAGAGUACCCGAAGAAAAAGCAUCGGCUAACUCCGUGCCAGCAGCCGCGGUAAUACGGAGGAUGCGAGCGUUAUCCGGAUUUAUUGGGUUUAAAGGGUGCGCAGGCGGAAGAGCAAGUCAGCGGUAAAAUUGAGAGGCUCAACCUCUUCGAGCCGUUGAAACUGGUUUUCGUGAGUGAGUGAGAAGUAUGCGGAAUGCGUGGUGUAGCGGUGAAAUGCAUAGAUAUCACGCAGAACUCAGAUUGCGAAGGCAGCAUACCGGCGCUCAACUGACGCUCAUGCACGAAAGUGUGGGUAUCGAACAGGAUUAGAUACCCGAGUAGUC
rnacentral:rRNA from 1 species